rnacentral:misc_RNA from 1 species
AGGGGCAUGUUGAAUCGGUGGUGAGAACCAAGGGACUUGACAUUGACCCUGAAGGGUACUACUCUGUUUGAGAAGAUGCCUCUGUAUCUGUUGAGUUUUGAGCGAGAAGAGUGAAACCCAGUCAAUAAAACUUAGGAUGCAUCCUGAAAAAAGGGGGAAAAAAAUCCUUCUUGAAGAUUUUCCAGGAUGCAAGGGUUUGGUAAGAAACAUAUGAGAGCAACAGCCAGUUUCUUCGAUAAUUCUUGUUACAUGAAUGGAUGCUGACAUUUUGGAGAUCGCAGCUGUGCUCUGAUUUCAGUAUCAUUACAUAUUAUGGACAUAUCUCUUCUCGAAAAACAAAAUUUUUGUGAGAUUAUAGAGUUAUCCUCCAAAGUCCAAAGAGUUUCUAAUUUCAUUUAUUGCAUAAGCUGUGGCUCCUGAUAGCACAUUAGCAGAUAAAGCAUAAGCUAAAGCUAUGGCUAUUGAUAGCACUUUUACUGCAUUUAUGCUGAUUCUGAAGUCAUUUUUUUUAUCUGGAACCAAACCAAAUGGUCUCUUUUCAAUAGUUCUGGAGCAACUCCAAGCCAGCAAAACUGAUCCACAAUAAAUGGAGAUAAUGCCUGCCAUCGAAGCAUCCAGAUUCUCAGACAGUGUAAAAUUACUUGAUGUUAAGCACUUA